UUCACCAGUAGAAGCAUUUUUUGCUUAGAAACUGAUGACUUCUCUUUGUAGAGGGCCACUAAGAGGAAAUGACGUGUAGCUGGUGUUUCUUGAAAUAAUUUGGAGAGAACUAGGUCUGAUUUCACUUUGAGAUAAUGCCAACAUUCAAAUCAUAUCCCUUUUUAAUUAAGUCAUCAUUUGGUCUGAUUUAUUAGAUUCAGAACUUGCUUUGAUGUAUAAUGAUGAAUCUGUGUUGGAAAAUCAUCACCUUGCUGUGGGUUUCAAACUGCUGCAAGAAGAACACUGUGACAUCUUCAUGAAUCUCACCAAGAAGCAGCGUCAGACACUUAGGAAGAUGGUUAUUGACAUGGUGUUAGCAACUGAUAUGUCUAAACAUAUGAGCCUGCUGGCAGACCUGAAGACAAUGGUAGAAACGAAGAAAGUUACAAGUUCAGGCGUUCUUCUUCUAGACAACUAUACCGAUCGCAUUCAGGUAUUUGAUGAAAGUCUUUGAUUUAACACAAAACCAAACCAAACUAAGCUGAACAACAAUUAGAAAAAGAAAACAAAGAUAAAUUCAGUUAU
rnacentral:sRNA from 1 species